AAGAAACCCUUCAAUUCCAGGCUUAGAGAGGCAGAAGAUAAUUUAGUAAAAGCACUUGCAGGUUGAGGAAGGUU